rnacentral:lncRNA from 1 species
AAAUGCCCGAAGUCCUAAUAAUAAGGUAAUAAAACUAAAAAGGAGGCCAUCAAGGGGUUUUGUCUUGACUCUUGAGCUGAGUGAGUUGGACUGAAAUAACCCCUCCUUUGGCAGCAUUUUGUACAUGGAGCUAACGAGACACGUUCACACACGGACGAAUCAACCCCCCAUCAACACCCACUUUUUGUUCUCCUCCACCAAGAAUAAUAUGAAAACUCCAAGAGCCUUGGAAAACGAGUUAGUGGAGUUUUUUCCAUUUCCCACAAACAUGCCCUUCACCACCUUGGACCGAGAAUUUCAACAACAAUAACCCAUAAAUAAAAUUUUAAAAAAGGGGGAAAUAUCCCUACCCGCAUUGAACCCAAAAGCUACAAUCUCGCCUUUAUAUACCACCCACCAUGUCCCCUAAUGGCCUAUGUAACACACGCUCUUUCUAGUUUAUAGUCUUUCUUUCUUGCAGCCUAGCUGCCCACAUUGCACCUUUGCGUUUAUGCUCAUGUUUGGGCUCUCAGACUGAUCUUGUACUGGGUAUAUUUGUAUAGAAAAGACCAUGAUCGGUGGCCACCGGAGAGGGUUCGUGGAUGCCGGUGGUGGUGAAGGCAGUGGUCGGCGGCGGCGACGUCGUAGAAGGUCUCUCUUUGUAAAUAUGGGUGAAAGCUGAUGGCAAAAGCACAACAAACAAAACUAAGCUUUGCAAUUGGGCUCUCCCGAGUUUCCAGCUACUUGGAGAAGGGGCAGAAUCGGUAGAGCGGCGUUAUUGCAUUGCGGGGAAUUGAGGGUAGCGGUCCGAUUUACGUUAACUUGGCUCUUCUCUUUUAUUUUUAUUCCUGGUUUGACCUCCGGAUCUUUCAGUUUUUCUUUUUCUAACGUUUUUGCCCCGUCUUCAACAUGGGAUGUAAGGGAUGCAUACGAGGUAGCUCUGUUUUCGUCUUUGUCUUUUCUUCAAUCUAGGGAGCUUGGAUUUCUUUUGAGCUAUAAAUUGGGGGUAUGGAAUGUUUGUACUGCUGCUGGGCAUGCAUCACUUACACCUAUCAUGUAUUUGCUUUCUGCUGAAUUUGGGAUAAAAGGAAAAUGUCUUCGGUUUCUUAAUGACUUGUUUCAUAUCAUUUGUUUUGAGUUUGAUUUGUUCAUGAUUUGGUGAUAAUUGGAAGCACCCAAAUUCCAUGCUUUCCUUUAUGCGCUUUUGCUCUUUUUCUCCUCUGGUUUUAAUUUUCAAAAGGCAAAUGAGGGAAGAAAUUCCUUACCUUGGUUAAGGAGGAAAAGAAAAUAUGCCCUCUUGCUUGUCCUUUUCAAUGCCCACUAGAAUCAUGUCAUUUUACUACUUUAUGGGUGUGUGUAAACACAAGAACCAAAGAACCAACUCACUGCUUUAUGAACCCAAUUUAUCCUACCACGCAUUAAAAAAUAACUUAAUUUUGAUUUGUUUGUUUAUAUAUGAUAUUUAAUUCUGCCUUUUGCUAGGUGAAUUACGUUAUAGCUGUUGGUUUUGUCCAUGUCCAUAAAGAAAGAAAAAGGAAAGAUCUGAUUUGCAGUGUUUGGAAAUAAAUUUGUGUGAUCACGGAUAAAGGAAGAAAAAGGAAAUAGAUUCUUUGAGGGAAACAUGUUUUC